rnacentral:rRNA from 1 species
AGUGAACGCUGGCGGUAGGCCUAACACAUGCAAGUCGAACGGCAGCACAGUAAGAGCUUGCUCUUGCGGGUGGCGAGUGGCGGACGGGUGAGGAAUACAUCGGAAUCUACUUUUUCGUGGGGGAUAACGAAGGGAAACUUACGCUAAUACCGCAUACGACCUACGGGUGAAAGCAGGGGAUCUUCGGACCUUGCGCGAAUGAAUGAGCCGAUGUCGGAUUAGCUAGUUGGCGGGGUAAAGGCGCACCAAGGCGGCGAUCCGUAGCUGGUCUGAGAGGAUGUUGCGCCACACUGGGACUGAGCCACGGUCCUGACUCCUACAGGAGGCAGCAGUGGGGAAUAUUGGACGAUGGGGGGAAGCCUGAUCCAGCCAUACCGCGUGGGUGCAGAAGGCCUUCGGGUUGUAAAGCCCUUUUGUUGGGAAAGAAAAGCAGCAGGUUAAUCCACCGCUGUUCUGACGGUACCCAGAGAAUAAGCACCGGCUAACUUCGUG